UGUUCUCUUUGACUACAAGAUCCAGGGGUGGAGGUAUAUCUCUGUUAGACUCUUCUCACUAUGACUACAAGAUCCAGGGGUGGAGGUAUAUCUAUGUGAGCCCCUGUUCUCUUUGACUACAAGAUCCAGGGGUGGAGGUAUAUCUCUGUUAGACUCUUCUCACUAUGACUACCUGAUCCAGGGGUGGAGGUAUAUCUAUGUGAGCCCCUGCUCACUCUGAAUUUAUUUAGCAUGAUUUUUUUCUUUCCUUGCAAUAUUAAAAUGUAGAACCCUUCAAAAAUAACAACCUUUAUUACAGUUGUAUGACAAUAUCUACAGUAGUUACACAGGACUUUAUUCAUUCAAUUUAAAACAUUUUUUGACGUUUUCCGAUUUUGCUUGAUUAGUUUCUUGAAGAAAUUGUAGAAAUCUGAUACGAUAGAUAAUUAUUUUGUAAAAUAAGAAAAGAUAUUACCUUGUUAAAUAUGUCCUGUACCAUGAGGUGUAAUAAGCACAAUCUACAGAUGAAAUUAAAGACAUUAUUUGUACA